UACGUAGGGUGCGAGCGUUAAUCGGAAUUACUGGGCGUAAAGCGUGCGCAGGCGGUUAUUUAAGUCAGGUGUGAAAGCCCUGGGCUUAACCUAGGAAUUGCGCUUGAGACUGGAUAGCUUGGAGUGCAGCAGAGGGAGGUGGAAUUCCACGUGUAGCAGUGAAAUGCGUAGAGAUGUGGAGGAACACCGAUGGCGAAGGCAGCCUCCUGGGCCAGCACUGACGCUCAUGCACGAAAGCGUGGGGAGCAAACAGG
rnacentral:rRNA from 1 species